AGUGAACGCUGGCGGUAGGCCUAACACAUGCGAGUCGAACGGCAGCACAGUAAGAGCUUGCUCUUACGGGUGGCGAGUGGCGGACGGGUGAGGAAUACAUCGGAAUCUACUUUUUCGUGGGGGAUAACGUAGGGAAACUUACGCUAAUACCGCAUACGACCUACGGGUGAAAGCAGGGGAUCUUCGGACCUUGCGCGAUUGAAUGAGCCGAUGUCGGAUUAGCUAGUUGGCGGGGUAAAGGCCCACCAAGGCGACGAUCCGUAGCUGGUCUGAGAGGAUGAUCAGCCACACUGGAACUGAGACACGGUCCAGACUCCUACGGGAGGCAGCAGUGGGGCCUCUUGGGCCCUGGGCGCCCGCCUGCUCCCGCCCUCCCGCGUGGGUGAAGAAGGCCUUCGGGUUGUAAAGCCCUUUUGUUGGGAAAGAAAAGCAGCAGGUUAAUACCCCGCUGUUCUGACGGUACCCCACGAAUAAGCACCGGCUCACUUCGUG
rnacentral:rRNA from 1 species